rnacentral:antisense_RNA from 1 species
AAUUAUGGUGGACUGAUUGGGCAGCCUCCGGGCUGGCCGUUUUCCUAGACACGGUAGGACCAAACCCGACUCAGUCCACCACCCAA